rnacentral:rRNA from 1 species
UGGGGAAUUUUGGACAAUGGGGGAAACCCUGAUGCAGCCAUUCCGCGUGUGGGAUGAAGGCCUUCGGGUUGUAAAGCAUUUUUCGCAGGGACGAAAACGCACAGUUUACUACUUUGUGGGGAUGACGGAACCUGCAGAAUAAGCACCGGCUAACUACGGGCCGGCAGCCGCGGUCAUACGUAGGGGGCAAGCGGUAAUCGGAAGUGCUGGGCGUAAAGCGGGCGCAGGGGGAUCGGCAAGAGAGGGGGG